rnacentral:rRNA from 1 species
UACGGGGGGGCAAGCGUUGUUCGGAAUUACUGGGCGUAAAGGGCUCGUAGGCGGCCAACUAAGUCGGAUGUGAAUCCCCAGGCUUAACCUGGGAACUGCAUCCGAUACUGGAUGGCUUGAAUCCGGGAGAGGGAUGCAGAAUUCCAGGUGUAGCGGUGAAAUGCGUAGAUAUCUGGAGGAAUACCGGUGGCGAAGGCGGCAAUCCUGGACCGGCAUUGACGCUGAGUGAGCGAAAGCGAUGGGGAGCGAACGAGGA